rnacentral:rRNA from 1 species
GAUGAACGCUGGCGGCGUGCCUAAUACAUGCAAGUCGAGCGAACAGACGAGGAGCUUGCUCCUCUGACGUUAGCGGCGGACGGGUGAGUAACACGUGGAUAACCUAUCUAUAAGACUGGGAUAACUUCGGGAAACCGGAGCUAAUACCGGAUACUAUAUUGAACCGCAUGGUUCACUAGUGAAAGACGGUUUUGCUGUUACUUAUAGAUGGAUCCGCGCCGCAUUAGCUAGUUGGUAAGGUAACGGCUUACCAAGGCGACGAUGCGUAGCCGACCUGAGAGGGUGAUCGGCCACACUGGAACUGAGACACGGUCCAGACUCCUACGGGAGGCAGCAGUAGGGAAUCUUCCGCAAUGGGCGAAAGCCUGACGGAGCAACGCCGCGUGAGUGAUGAAGGUCUUCGGAUCGUAAAGCUCUGUUAUUAGGGAAGAACAAAUGUGUAAGUAACUAUGCACGUCUUGACGGUACCUAAUCAGAAAGCCACGGCUAACUACGUG